CUACGGGUUGCAGCAGUGAGGAAUAUUGCACAAUGGGGGGAACCCUGAUGCAGCAACGCCGCGUGGAGGAUGACGCAUUUCGGUGUGUAAACUCCUUUUAUAUGUCAAGAAAAUGACGGUAGCAUAUGAAUAAGCACCGGCUAACUCCGUGCCAGCAGCCGCGGUAAUACGGAGGGUGCAAGCGUUACUCGAAAUCACUGGGCGUAAAGGACGCGUAGGCGGGUUGGAAAGUCAGGUGUGAAAUCCUACAGCUUAACUGUAGAACUGCACUUGAAACUUCUAAUCUAGAGUAUGGGAGGGGGAGAUGGAAUUAGUGGUGUAGGGGUAAAAUCCGUAGAUAUCACUAGGAAUACCUAAAGCGAAGGCGAUCUCCUGGAACAUUACUGACGCUAAGGCGUGAAAGCGUGGGAAGCAAACAGGAUUAGAUACCCUAGUAGUC
rnacentral:rRNA from 1 species